AUUGAACGCUGGCGGCAUGCCUUACACAUGCAAGUCGAACGGCUGCACGGGAGCAAUCCUGGUGGCGAGUGGCGAACGGGUGAGUAAUAAAUCGGAACGUGCCCAGUAGUGGGGGAUAACUGCUCGAAAGAGCAGCUAAUACCGCAUACGACCUGAGGGUGAAAGGGGGGGAUCGCAAGACCUCUCGCUAUUGGAGCGGCCGAUAUCAGAUUAGCUAGUUGGUGGGGUAAAGGCCUACCAAGGCAACGAUCUGUAGUUGGUCUGAGAGGACGACCAGCCACACUGGGACUGAGACACGGCCCAGACUCCUACGGGAGGCAGCAGUGGGGAAUUUUGGACAAUGGGCGCAAGCCUGAUCCAGCAAUGCCGCGUGCAGGAAGAAGGCCUUCGGGUUGUAAACUGCUUUUGUCAGGGAAGAAAUCCUCUAGGUUAAUACCCUUGGGGGGAUGACGGUACCUGAAGAAUAAGCACCGGCUAACUACGUGCCAGCCGCCGCGGUAACAC
rnacentral:rRNA from 1 species